AACGAACGCUGGCGGCAGGCUUAACACAUGCAAGUCGAACGCUCGUAGCAAUACGGGAGUGGCGGACGGGCGAGUAACGCGUGGGAACGUGCCCUGAGGUACGGAAUAACUGAGGGAAACUUCAGCUAAUACCGUAUGAGCCCCGAGAGGGGGAAAGAUUUAUCGCCUUGGGAGCGGCCCGCGUCGGAUUAGCUAGUUGGUGGGGUAACGGCCUACCAAGGCUUCGAUCCGUAGCUGGUCUGAGAGGACGAUCAGCCACACUGGGACUGAGACACGGCCCAGACUCCUACGGGAGGCAGCAGUGGGGAAUCUUGCGCAAUGGGGGCAACCCUGACGCAGCCAUGCCGCGUGAACGAUGAAGGCCUUAGGGUUGUAAAGUUCUUUACCCGUGACGAUGAUGACGGUAACGGGGAUAAGCUCCGGCUAACUUCGUGCCAGCAGCCGCGGUAAU
rnacentral:rRNA from 1 species